UACGUAGGGUGCAAGCGUUGUCCGGAAUUAUUGGGCGUAAAGAGCUCGUAGGCGGUUUGUCGCGUCUGCCGUGAAAGUCCGGGGCUCAACUCCGGAUCUGCGGUGGGUACGGGCAGACUAGAGUGAUGUAGGGGAGACUGGAAUUCCUGGUGUAGCGGUGAAAUGCGCAGAUAUCAGGAGGAACACCGAUGGCGAAGGCAGGUCUCUGGGCAUCAACUGACGCUGAGGAGCGAAAGCAUGGGGAGCGAACAGG
rnacentral:rRNA from 1 species